rnacentral:sRNA from 12 species
AAUGAUACUUCUGCCGAAAGCAAGCUCGCCGAGAGGCGGGAUGUGUUGUUUAAGACGGAAAGAAUGUCUAGUUGCAGCACAU